UACGUAGGGUGCGAGCGUUAAUUGGAAUUACUGGGCGUAAAGCGUGCGCAGGCGGUUUUGUAAGCCAGAUGUGAAAGCCCCGGGCUUAACCCUGGGAAUGGCAUUUGGGACUGCAAGGCUUGAGUGCGGCAGAGGAGACUGGAAUUCCCGGUGUAGCAGUGAAAUGCGUAGAUAUCGGGAGGAAUACCGAUGGCGAAGGCAGGUCUCUGGGCUGACACUGACGCUCAUGCACGAAAGCGUGGGGAGCAAACAGG
rnacentral:rRNA from 1 species